UACGUAGGUGGCAAGCGUUGUCCGGAUUUCCUGGGCGUAAAGGGCGUGCAGGCGGUUUGUCUAGUCUAGGGUGAAAGCUCCCGGCUUAACUGGGAGAGGUCCUUGGAUACUGGCAAACUUGAGGGAGGCAGAGGAAAGUGGAAUUCCCGGUGUAGUGGUGAUAUGCGUAGAUAUCGGGAGGAACACCAGUGGCGAAGGCGGCUUUCUGGGCCUUACCUGACGCUGAGACGCGAAAGCGUGGGGAGCGAACCGG
rnacentral:rRNA from 1 species